rnacentral:antisense_RNA from 1 species
CUUGAGGGAGCCGAGCCACAGCGGCCGGUCCUCCUCGCGGCCCUGGCCGUAGGUGGCGAGCAGGGCGUGCGCCUC